UGCAAGUCGAACGCUUUUUCUUUCACCGGAGCUUGCUCCACCGAAAGAAAAAGAGUGGCGAACGGGUGAGUAACACGUGGGUAACCUGCCCAUCAGAAGGGGAUAACACUUGGAAACAGGUGCUAAUACCGUAUAACAAGUAAAACCGCAUGGUUUUACUUUGAAAGGCGCUUUUGCGUCACUGAUGGAUGGACCCGCGGUGCAUUAGCUAGUUGGUGAGGUAACGGCUCACCAAGGCAACGAUGCAUAGCCGACCUGAGAGGGUGAUCGGCCACAUUGGGACUGAGACACGGCCCAAACUCCUACGGGAGGCAGCAGUAGGGAAUCUUCGGCAAUGGACGAAAGUCUGACCGAGCAACGCCGCGUGAGUGAAGAAGGUUUUCGGAUCGUAAAACUCUGUUGUUAGAGAAGAACAAGGAUGAGAGUAAAAUGUUCAUCCCUUGACGGUAUCUAACCAGAAAGCCACGGCUAACUACGUGCCAGCAGCCGCGGUAAUACGUAGGUGGCAAGCGUUGUCCGGAUUUAUUGGGCGUAAAGCGAGCGCAGGCGGUUUCUUAAGUCUGAUGUGAAAGCCCCCGGCUCAACCGGGGAGGGUCAUUGGAAACUGGGAAACUUGAGUGCAGAAGAGGAGAGUGGAAUUCCAUGUGUAGCGGUGAAAUGCGUAGAUAUAUGGAGGAACACCAGUGGCGAAGGCGGCUCUCUGGUCUGUAACUGACGCUGAGGCUCGAA
rnacentral:rRNA from 1 species